rnacentral:misc_RNA from 1 species
UCCGAGUUGACCCCGGCAGUCUCCUGUGAGUCCCCAACCCUCCCGAAAGAGGUUGCUGGCAACACAGAACAAGGGUUGCGCUCGUUGCGGGACUUAACCCAACAUCUCACGACACGAGCUGACGACAGCCAUGCAGCACCUGUGUGAUGGCUCCCUUUCGGGCACUCCCGGAUCUCUCCAGGAUUCCAUCCAUGUCAAGGGUAGGUAAGGUUUUUCGCGUUGCAUCGAAUUAAUCCACAUCAUCCACCGCUUGUGCGGGUCCCCGUCAAUUCCUUUGAGUUUUAACCUUGCGGCCGUACUCCCCAGGCGGUCAACUUCACGCGUUAGCUUCGUUACCAAGGAAUUGCUUCCCCGACAACCAGUUGACAUAGUUUAGGGCGUGGACUAC